UGUAAAAUUCAUAACCUGAGGCAUUUUUGAAGAUUCAACUUCAUGCAAGCAUCAUCAGCAUUUGCUCUGGAUAUGCUACUGCAUCUCUGUAUGGCUACAGACCAAUAGUAGUCUGUUUGCUCUAGGAAUGCAUGUUAAACUGUGGAUGGUUGGCUUGUUUUGUUUUUUUGAGGAACUAGGAAUGGCAGAAGUCAACAUUAAAUUAUCACUACUAUUCCUAGCAAAUUUGAAGCAUUUAAAGCGUGCUUAUACUUCCACUGUUGAGCACCAAACAAGCCUGACAAUCUGAGGUGCUAUCAUGCAGUAGAAAAAAAUUUAUGAACAUAUGCACACAGUUUCACAUAAAAUAAAUAUUAAGAUAAUUCUACAGUAGCAAUGCACAUAUUUACUGAAAUUACAGUUUCACUGACUUACAUGUCAGCUGUUUGAUAUAGUUCAUAAUCUUUCACAUACACAGAUUUAUGUCUAGACUUAGUCCACGUGAAGCCAGUGGCCUAAUUUCUGUGCUGUGUGGCCAGGCAAUUACAGGCUCAGAGGAAAACUUUACUUGCUGGUUGUGUAAAAGUCACUAUUUGAAAGGCUCUUACCCAAUGAAAUGUGUGCUAGCCCAGCGUCAGUGUCAGUGGGAUGAAUUCGAGCUGUUUCAGUCGGCCCGUGUCCACUGCCAUGAAAUGACUUGUGGUGCACAGUGCCUACAAAUGGGAUGGGUGGCAUGGGGAAAGAAAGGCUUUUAUGUAACAAUUUCUCAUUUUGACCAUGAUGGAAUGAUUCCAAAUGUUUAAACUGCAUUUGAACUGGUUUUGAGAACAGAUGUUGAAGGAUAUAAAGAAGUAAUCAGAAAUGACUGGAUUACUGUGACUUAGUGGCUUCGUAUACUCGACAGCAUGUACGUGGUCCAUUACUGCAGCUCAUCUCCUUGCCUGGUCCCGUUGCAAAGGAGAGAAUCAAUGUGCUUGCAUGUCUAGUUUACAAGAUGUGGUCAGAGGGAAACACAGAUUGUACACCAGAGAAAAUUCAUAGAUAUAUGAGUGGGUGGCAACAAAGUUAGUGAAGCUUUGAGAUUCUCUCUGAAACAGGCAGCUGGCUUUGGUUCAUGCUUAACCAAGCCUGCCUAUUGAGUGUAGCCUAGAGCAUAUUAUUACUGCUGUCAAGACAAGGCGUGUAAUCUUUUUUUGUAUUCCAAAUGUUACUUGCACAGCUUGGGAGGACACAGUUCUAGAUUCUUUGAUGGAAGUGUAGCGGCACAGGAAUCUAAAGAGAAACUGGUUUGGUAAAACAGUAUUAGCUUAGCUAAAGCUCUGAUUCCUAAUAAUUCUUCCUUUAGAGUCUGUGAAGUACAAGGCAGUGCUGAACAACUGUGGCUCUGCAUUUAAGUACUGUGACAGUGAAUUAGUGAGCAAGAGGGAGCAUUCCGAAUGAGUCCCAAAAUAGAAGGCAGUUAAGCACGGAAGUCUGAGAAUUUAGCAUUAUAUGGAAUCCUGAGUUCAGCCUGUGCCUUAAAAUAUCUGAAUGCAAUCUCUUCAGCCAUUAUUCUGUUAGCUCAUCCCUGCAGUCAAUUAGUAAGCUAGAAAAGCAAACGGAAUGAAAUGGAUGUCAAUACUGUUGGUUAAGGCCUUUAAUUGUUUCUUUUCUUCAGGUUGUGUUAUUAAAGUCUUUGUCACGAAGACCUGGAAAAAUGAAUAGCUGAGACUUUCAGCGUUCCUGGUACAAAACACACCUUGUGAACCCUUAAGCACAGUACAGAAUACUUUACAUUAAUGUUUUGGAUACUGUAAGCAAAAUCAAAGGUAUUUCUUAGGAUAGUUCUAACUAGUCCAAUAUAUCACUUAAGAAAGAGCUUACUUUCACUUAAUGAUGCAUGUAGAAAUGAGGAUUGACAUGUGAAGAGCACCAGAUAGGUGUUAAUUAUAUUAUUAUACUUACUACUGGCAAAACUCUACCAGGAAAAAAAAUGCUAUUUCUUUUUUAGGCUUUUGGUUAAUCGUGCUUGUUUAAAUUAGUGAUGUAUGUUUAGAGGGACAACAAUGUAGAGAUGUGCCUAGAUAUGGGCAAAAUUAAACUCUUGGAAGGAAGAAAUUGGAUAUGAUGCUACAUAUGCUCUUAAUAAAUGAGUGGGGCAGAGCAAUACUAGGCCAGCUCACCACCUUUUUAAGCACAGAACAAAGGCUCAGAAUUAGUGACCUUGUUAAUGGGGUGGGGUAAAGGUUAUUUGAUUUGGCAAGUAAUAUUGAUACCUGUUAAAGGAAAUCCUUGUCUCAUAGAGCAGGAAUGCUAAAAUUCACACUUCAAGUCGACUUUGGGACAGAAUUUAAGUUCUUUCACUUAGGAAUAAAGAAAGACAACUAACUAUAUAAAAGAAAUGUAGCCCCAACAUUAGUUUAAAAAAACCCAAACCUCAAACCACUACCACUACCUCAACAGAUUUUCAAUAACGUAGCCAUUAAUUGUCCCCGACUUCUAGACAAAGCAAUGUUACUCUUGCAUAGUUAAACCUCUCUUUGGAUCCUUUAAAAACACUAUGAAAUUCUGGAACUAUGAGGCACAGAAAAAUGAGAUGGAGAAUGUGUAUAUCUUUGCCUUCUUUGUUUGUUUACUUCAGCCCAAUGGUGUUGAGAAAAUAGCAUAUAAAUGAAGAAUAGUACUUUCCAUCUUCCUGUUUUGCUUUGCAAAUAAUUGUGGGAAUAGGAGAAAUCUUCAUUUUAUAAAACUUCCAAUACUACAUUUUCCAAUAGAUAUAGGAAUAAAUAUGUCUAGGUCAGGUUAAAACUUGAGACAAAAAAUAAAUUUAUAUAAUAAUGUUUCUUAGAUAACACUUUCCUGGUGUUUAUUAAAGAAAAUACCAUAAAGGAGAAAAUAAAAAAAAUUAAAAAUUAAAAGUGUGGAUAAUUUUCCUUUUUUUGGAAACUCACUUCUUUCAUAGCACUUCUAAGGAGUUAAUUACCUGCCUUUCACUCAGACCUCUCAAAGGGAAAUCCAUGUAAGAAAAGGCUCCUGAGAGCAUAAGAGCAUAUUGAUGUGCCAGUGCCAGCGAAGGGGACGAGUUUAUGGCACAUCACAAACAGAAAACUAAAAUGACUACCUACGUUUAUUUAGCUCUUGUGGUGCUUGCAAAUUUCAUGUAUGCUUAAACUAUUCCUUUAUUACUCUUUUAAUUACACAACUAAUCUUACAACUUCUAUGUGGAUUACUGUGAUGUAAUCAUAACUGUCCUAGCAAUUGCUGCACACUUUCUGCUUAAAAUUUGUCUUCUAUGUUCACAUACUAUUACCCAGGGCUAAGUGUAGGCAUAUGUCACGAGGUGUGGAGUGCAACAAACUUUAUCGUGCUAGCUGUUUUAUUAAUUCUGGACCCUGGGAAGACUUGCCGUCAGUGAGAAAAGAGUGCUCCAGGGGAAGGAGGUUCAUUCCUGUUCAUUAUGGCCUGCUGUUUUUCUUUUCCAUCCUUCUCUUAUGAGGAGAAGUCUGCCUUAUGCCAGCUAAUGUCAUUGGUACCUUGAGGAGAAGAAAGCCCUACCUGUGCAGAGCCAGCUCUUAAGAUCAGACCUCAUUUCCCUAGAGGAGAUCAACUUGGAUUAUUUGAAGUAAUAACAAAAUGCAUUAUGUCUUUACAUUAAGGCUAUGAGCCCACAAGUGGAUCAACAUUAUCGAUCUCUACACCUAUGCUAAGUCCCAGUGAUUCUAAUUAAUCUUGAUUGUAGGAUCCAGCUUAUUACACUUGAUGUUGUUUCUGCAGAUGAGCUGCCCAGAUGGACUCUCAUGCUUUCAUUGACUCUACUGAAGUGAAUAGGGCCUGGUGCAGCCCUGGUAACAUCAAGACCUUAUUUUCAACAAUGUAGAUAAGAGAUCAGUCCAAGCGAGCACUGAUCUGGAUAGUUUCUGGUCUCAUUGCUUUAUUUCUGUAAAUUGCAAGCACAUUACUUCAACUGGUGACUAGGGGAAAAUAUUUCAGUUUGUUACAAAAACAAGGCAAGAUGACAAAUAUGCCAUCCUGUUAUGAAGAAGGCUGAUUUCCUGAAGGAAUGUAGGUAGCUGGCUGUGACCUAAAGUUGCUACGAAUAAACAUCAGAAAAUUCAGGCUCAGGAGAUAAUUGAAGAACUUACUUGUGCAGUAAUAAGGUGUGCAACUUCCUAUGAUUCUAGGAAAACCAAGUUCCUCCAAAAAGCUUUUCAAAUAUAAAAGAGUUUUACAACUUCAGCUAAAACCCCAGUCUGCAUUCGGAGGAAAGGGAAAUAUAUUGCAAGGCAUGAGUCAGACAUGGCUUACCCAGAGAAAUCUUUGCAAGAGAGCUCUGUGCUUGAAAGGCUGCUGCAGGGGUGUCUCUUGCAUGUUUGUGAUGUGGGGUUUGACCUGCCUGUGGGCAGCCUGUUGCUUCCAGAAAUACUAGACUGCAGAUUUGCUAGCAGCUCACAACAGCUUCUAAAGAAGUCAGAAGAUUGUGUCCAUUUUCUUCUGCAUCAUGCUGUUGACAAACUUGUCUCACCUUGUGUUGUGGAAGUUGAUGUGUGUGACUUGUGAACUUCUGGUUGUCCUCAAUCAAUUUGAACUUGAUGUUUUGAAAUCUGCAGCAAAGACUGACAAAACCGGGAAGGAAGUCCUUUGUAUGAUGUGUCUGGUGACACAGCAUUUAUACAUCAGUGUUUUCUUAGCUCUAAUAUGUGUGUGGACACAUAAGUAACUAUGUUAAAUAGUCCUGAAACAGACUUCAUCAGACACUCAGUCUUUGAUGGUAAUGAUUUCUGGUCAUGAUUAACUUGAUGGCUGCUUUUUUUUCUCCAUGUCUUUAUCUCUUCUCAGAGACAGUAGCCUGCAUAUGUAAGUAACUCUGUCAGGGAUUGAAGUCCUAAGUAGUUAUUAACUUGUACUUAGUAGGCAAUGUCUCUGAAUUAAAAGGGCAGAUCUAUCUUCAUCUAAUGAACACUUAGAACAAGAGUUACCUGGCAGGUUUGUAGCUAGCUCUAAUUUCAUUCUUGCUCUGCUGGGACGGACAUCCCCAGGAGAGAAGAGAGCUUAAAAACUUUCUGAGAAAAAAGACAAUUGCAUCAAACAAUAUAAAGAGAAAAACAUUCCAAAAAGUUCUGAUACCAAAUAUGUUAGUACUUCCCCCUCAUUCUUCCUUGUCUUAUCUCUCUCACCUUCAUUUUUUUUUUAUUCUUAGGCUGUGGCAAACUUGCUGUCAUGUAAUUUAGUGCAACUUUACAUUGCUUUCAUUUAUGUUCUGCUUAUGAACCCUGUGGCUCAGAGAUGGCUUGUUACAGUGUAUUCCCCUUAAUUAAGUGUUAUUUAAGCAUAAGAGGAAGUAAGACUAAUCCCUCUCUCUCUUCUUUCCUUCUUUUUUUUCUUCUUUUUUCCCUUUCUUUUCUUCUUUCUCCCCCAUCCCUGGAGAGGGAUAGUUAUAACACGAGUGAGUAGGGAAGUUAAUCACACUUCACAUUUGGGAUAAACCUUUUUAACUACCUGUAAUUUCCACACAUUUCAGGCUCUUCAAACGCGUUUUCUCCUGUGUGAAAGAAUCUGCUGGCGUUUUCAUGUUUUCUGAAAAAAAACACAAGGUAGAAAGGCUUAGGUGAGAUUUCUUACGUUAGAUUUCUGUUCUGAAGCGUAGUUACAAAGCUGCUUGUGGAGUGACUUCUGACUGGAAAGUGAAGUGAUUUGGCCUCUGAGAGAUUAAUUAAAUUCUUGUGCUUCUCUUAGUUUCCUUAGAUACAUAGGUGCCAGUGAUUUCUUAAAGUGUAAAGUGUGUUCUUGUGAGGAUUUAAUGUCAUGGGUUUUAUGUUCUAGGGCAAACGCUGGAGGUCUCAAGGACUAAGCUGAAUCUGUUUGGGUUAAGUUGCUUGAAAUGGAUUCACUGAAAUCCCACACUGUCAGUCUGGCCUUGGCUUUGAAUUGUUUAUCAUCACAUAAUGAAAUCUAAAACACUCAAGUUUAUUUGUCUAGCAGGUAGUUCGCAGUUAGUGAACUUGUUUGUUCUUUAUAAGAAAAAUGAGCAUAGAAGCCACUGAAAAAUGUGGGGGAAAACGUUUUGAAGCCUUGAUCUGUUUUCUGUAGCUACCCUGUCAAGGAGCAGUCAACCAGAGGCAAUCGCUGAGGUGGACUUAAUGGAGGAGAGAUCUGAAGUAUACUGGUUUGAUAUUUGAAAUGUGAUAAUGUGGAUGUUCUUUAUGUUCAUUUAUGCUUUGCCUGCUGCAGUGUUAACAUGUUAGCUUUAAUGAAGGCAGCUUUUACACAAAUGCCAGAAGUGUCUCCAGCUAAUGCAGCAUGCUCUCAUUCUUGGCUUGUUCUUUGCUUUCUUCUCUUGCCUGCAUACACCCCUCUUCCCCCUGGAAGCAGUGCAGCAAUGGAGCAAGGCAUAAAAAUGAAGUGUAAUAAUCUCAAAACAAAACAAUAAGGUUUACCCUCCUCCUGUCCUAUAUGCUUUCUCUUCAUUCUGAGGGUCCAUCUAGUAAGCCAUUGAACAGCAAUGUCCUUAAUGACUAUUUGAUUGAGAUAAGAGAGAUAAAAGAUGAGAUUAAUUGAACCUGUGCUAAAUGUGGUCAUGGUAAUGAUGGACAUGAUGGGGAUAUAUCAACGAUACAUCUUCAUAAACUUUAGAACCAUGGCUGACUGCUGUAAGAGAGAAAGGCACAAUUGCCUUAAUAGUUGUAUAAACAGCCUAGUGUUUGGGUUUUGUUUAUCAUUAAUCAUGAUAGAUAAUGGUAGCAGUUCUUGGAAGAAAGCACGACAUCUAGACAUUAAAAGCAUGGAUUUUCACCAUGGACCUAAAUACAACAGUAAAUCCUAUUGCUAUUUGCACCUCCUAUGCAGGUAGAGGUUGAUUUAACAUUAGGAAAGUUCAUUAAUUGGAAGGAUAUUAAAAUGUAUACUGUAUUAUGAUGUUUGCAGACUUUAGAUGCUGUAGACCGUUCAUGGUGCUUAGAUUAUCAUGCUUAUCAAUCAGAAAUAUGAAUAUUUCAUGAGUAUGGUAUAACAGCAGUAUUUUUAAAGAAAAAAGCAGAGGCCAGUUGAGGAUUGCUGUUCACAGGCUGUCCUUAACUGUGUUUAUUUCUUCCCCUUUUCCCAGCAAAUCCAGUAUUAAAGAAGGAUUGUAAGGCCCAUGUAAUCAUUGAGGAUUUACUUUCUUGGUGCCUCAGAGCUGCAUUCAGCAACAACACCAUUGUUCUGUUUUUAAACAUACAUAUUACCUUCACAAGGUACAGAUAGAUGCUAUCUGGCGGUACUUUGGAUAGUAACAACUGUAAAUUAUUGCUUGAAAAUAGCAUUAGAAAUACAAAUAGGUUCAACUUUUGGUCUUAUGCUGACAGAAGGCACUGUAGUUCUGCAGCCAUCUUAGGUACAACUGAUGUAAAUUGGGACUCAGGCUAAUGAGGUCAAGUCUCUUUUCCUUUUGUGUCAGUACAAAAUAUUCUUAAUUCUGAGCUUGAUACUAAAAUAUAGAAGAAUUCUAACUAUAUAGUAGUUAGGCUAAAGUUCAGGGUAGGAUAGAAUAAUUUCUGCUGGCAAAAAGUUCUGGAGUCUGGUGAAUAGAAAGCAUAGUGUUCCGAUAAACUGCUUAAUAUUUCUCAAUGCUUAAUGUUUCUCAAGAUUAGGAAAUGUAGAUUGGUGGAUUAAUUAAAUUAACAGUUUAACAGAAGUAGUUUAGAAUUGUACUUUACCUUACACUGGUUCCAGUCUUUGCUUCAAUACAGGCAAAGCAUAGAAACAUCAGUGUUUAUUCAUAUACAGUUUUCCUUUUACUUGCAUAAUAUGCAAGGACACAGUAUUUCUAAGCAUCCUUAGCAUAAAAAGGAAAAAAUAAAUCGGUAAUGGGAAAGGUAAAAUAAUCUUUAUAAAUGGAAUCUUAAUAUUAAAUUGCUCCAUCUAGUGGCUAUCUUCUAAAACUGACAUUUUUCUUUAAGGAUUCUUCUUUAGUGAUUAUGCCUCUUAAGAAUUUAAGAUUGAAUUCUUGUUUUACAUAGGAAGCUCUCUACCAAGGCAACUGCACAUGUGACGAGGUACAAACUUUGAUUUUCCUUCCAGUUUCUUCUGAGGGUUUGUACUGUUUACUUGAAUGGAAGCAAGCCUUAGGUGUCCAAGUGUCUCAACUGCUUUUGAGAUCUUGGUUUUAGUGCCUUACUAUUUUUUUUUCAGGGUCUUCUUGAACCUGGGAAGGAGAAUAGAGAAGCUGGAUUGCAUAAAUAGUACAAUAAGGAUGAAGUCUCUGAUUCUUUGUCAAAGAUUUAAAAUACACAGUGAAUUAUGUACUGAGUCCAGUACAUAGUUAGAUGCAAAGUGAUACAUAGUGAGAUGCAUCUUGUGUAUUAACAUGAGAGAAAUAUCAGUUGCAGAUUGUUUCAUCCAAAUGCCUUAACUAGCACUGAUGCUGUACUUUUCGUAAUAAAUAAUUGAAUGAUUUGUUAAUGUCAAUACACUUUGUAAGCAAUUGGAAUUCUUAUGUCAGUCAAGGUGAAAACACCUGUGUUUCCCAGCUAUGAAAAGAGGAAAAAAAUUCAAAAGCAAAAUGUUCAAGAAGAGAUUUAAUCCAGACAUCUCUGAUGCUUUCUUCCUUUGAACAUUUUGAAAAGACAAAAAAGAAAAAGCAAAAAAGAGAGAGCUCUUGAGGAGUCAUGCAAAUUUCUUGCUGCCCACUGCUGUGAUCCCUUGUGCAGCUGGCUUUAAUGGGAACUGAGGUGCUUAAGAAAGCAAAAUCAUAGAACAAUGAAUCACUUUCAGGGUGAUUGGUAUUGUUUUUCAGUUUCUGAAUAGAGCCCAAGACUAUGCAACCAGCAGCUGAAGUCCUGCAGAACACAAAAAAACAUUUAAAAAUGAAAAGCAAGAAAAAGGGCUAACUAAAAUAGUUUAAAUCCAAAUUUUAAGUAUUAGAUUUUUUUAAAAAGAAAGUUGUCUAGUCUUGAAAAUGUAACAGGUGCACUGGACUUGAUUACUCCCCUGUCCUUUACUUUUGUCAUUAAUUUUGCAGUUUUGGUUAAUCUGCUACCUUUAACUUCCUGGUAAAUUAAUUCUCUCCUCAUUUCAUGUCUAAAUAGUCCUUUAAUAUUAAGAAACUGCUCUGUAAGACUAGAAGGGUUGCAUUGUAUUCCAAGGCUGUUGUUGUUUUUAUUAUUCACUUGAAUAAUGGAACAUAGACCUUGCAGUGCACUUUUCCAGACUUCCUCUUCUCAAUUAGUUUGGUCACUUAAAAUUGCAGAUUGCUAUUCCUAUCUUCCUUUCCCAGGCCACUAAAUAUCACAAUUGUGUAACUUCCCUACAUGCUAAGUAAAGUUUCCUUGCAGCCUGCAUUUUAACCUCAGUUGUUGUACUUUUGGCUUAACUUUCAAAGUUUGACAUACAAGGUAGCACAUCCUAAUAAUAGUGCAUGAAGAAAUAAUUAAUUGCUGUGAAAUGGAAUGGUGCUUUAUCUUAAAAUAGCAGAAUUUUUUUUAAUUAAUUAAAAAUAUGUAUAUGAAAUCUUUUUUGUUUCCUGAGGCAGAUAUAUUGUCAGAGUAUGCCUUAUGAUGAUUUGUACUGGUUGAGUUCUGCUCCCUUCUGGGGUUGCUUUGUUGUGUCUUUGUAGUGAUUUUGAUAUUGGAAAACAUCUUUACCAUUUUAUUUCUCAUCCCAUCAAAAAUGCCUUGUUUUUGUAAUGAAACAUAGUUAUUUCAAGCCAGAGCCAUACAGCAGCAGUCCCAGGAAACAGUCAGCAUGUGCACUGAGGGAGACAAUAUUUGAUGUAUACUCCUCUAUUUUUUUUUCAAGGUGUACUCAUCAGAACCUGGCUGUUAUCCGCAUGCAGCAUAAAUAAAUAUUUGGCAUUGUCCACUUUUUCUUUAGGCUUCAUCUUUGCUUCUCUAAUACUUCCUUGAUUUCUAGCAGAGUAUGUCUUUUUAAAAAUGUUAUGGGUGGAUACAAAAAUGGUGAGCAUGUUUGUCUUUUUGCAGGUUACUGAGAAUACCAAUGCUGGUCCAUUUGAUCUGACCUUUUCCUCUGAACAACUUCCAUAGUGCAGGACCUGCAGAAUUGUUGGGGUUUUUUGAAGAGCUUGUUUUUCUCCCAAAUUUCUGAAAAUUUUGGUCUCAUGCACCUUCUUCAUUAGACCAGUGCCAUGAAGUUUUAAUUCUGACAAUCUGUCUUGUGGCAUUAUGCAUUUUACAUUGUUUACUGCAUCAGGUUGCUUAUUUCAAAAGCUUAGUGCUGGAUUGUGUGACUUAAUUGGGUAAAUAACUAUUAUUCUUUUUCAUCAAUAUGUGAUUCUAGAUCUCCAAGCAUGGCUAACCUCUUUCAUUUUGGAUUGUAAUAAAAUCUAAUCUUACUAAUUAUUCAACCCUUUUUGAUCACAAAGAUGUUAUCUCCCUGAAAGAAAUAAAUUCCACACUUUUUUCCUUUUCUUUUGGUUUGUUUUCAUUACAUUCUUACCACUGAUGAUUUUUCUAGUUCAUUCAGGUUUAACUCCUUCUUAAACUUUCUUUCUUAUGAUUCUUAUUGAUUAUCAUAUUCUAACUUCUGUGGUGUUUCCAUGGUUGGCCUUCUCUUAGCUAAUUGAAAAUAACUGAUUUUCACAUCCAUCUCUAAUCAAAAAUAGUGUCCCUUUUAGUGGCAUGUACUGUGAAAAAGAAAACCAGCAUGCGACUUCUUGUCUCUACGUAUUUCCAUGCUAACAGGUAAAAAAAGCAUUCUACUCAGAUUUGUUUUGGUUUGGGCUUUCAACCUCUGAUACCAUAUGAUCUUCAAGAAUAAUUUCAGUCCUAAUAUUGUAGCUAAUCUGCAGUUAUUUUAAUUAUGUCUCUUCCGUGACUGCAGAACAGAUAGAGGACUACUUUUGUGCUCCUUUCUAGAUUUACUGUCACCAGAGCAGAAGUCGACAUUGUGAGGCAUUUUUUGAGUCCAUCAAGCUCUCCAUGUCUGCAUUCAUGUUUCUGUGAAAUUGUGAAUCAGAGCUUUAGAAGCAGAACAUCUGAAGCAGAAUUACGCAUUCUUAUUCCGGACAGGUGGAAUCACAUGGUAUUUAAUUAGCACACCCAAGAAUCCUUAUGUAGAAGUCCUGAAUGUCUCUUCUCUGUUGUAAAGACAACCAGUAAAAGGAACCACUUAAGUACAGAGCAGAGAAGUGACCUGUGCUUGGCUUUUGCCAAGACUUCUGAUACUUCCUGUGUUUAUUGCUAAUGUGAACUUCCCACUGUUUAAUUAAACAUGGCUGCUCAUAGCAUUCUAUUUUCUUUAGCAGCUUCUAAUCACAGCAGUUGUUCUGACACUUGACAGAAUGGCAGCUGGAGAUAUGAACCAGGCAUAGCAGGGAAAAAUUUAGGUGUUCAAGGACUUCUAGAUCUCUCUUAUCAUUUCAAUUGCUUCUCUCUCUCUUUUUUUUUUUUUCUUUUUUUUUCUUCUGUGUUUCAAAACUGAAUUUUGUCCUGUUAUUCUACUAGAGUAGAAUGUUUCAGUUUUCCCUCUUCUCCUGAGAGUAAAAAGUGGGUCAUGAUAUGCAAGGUAAUUUACAUAUCAUAAGAAUGCAAGAAUAAGGGAUUGCAAUGGAAGCAAACAUUCAUAGAAGUAGCAUUUUUCAGUCUACUUUCUGGGUUUAGCAUCAGAUUUGUGUGUUGGAGUGUAGAAUUGGACAUUGUAGGAAGCUCCACCUGAAAGACAGGUUGUCCUUCUGAAGCACAUAGAUCUUAUUUAAUAAUAAUGCUUUUCUGGAAAAAGUGUGUAUAUUGUGCCCACAACAAGCAAGACAAGGAAUUCAACCUCUGAUUAAAGGUCCCAAAAAAGUUCUUGUGGGAAUUGAGCUGAGAUAUAUGUGCAGAUGUAGGUGCUAUAUGUAUCAGAAUGUCUUGUGCAAAUCAAAAUUAAAAGUUGGUAGUUACUGUAUUUGAGCAAAUUUAGAGUCUGGAAGGCUGAUGCAUCUGGAUCAUACAAUUUUGUGUCUGUUGAGAGGUAACAGGCCUGUGUUACAUUAUAAAACUGUAGGAGGAUGCAGUGUCCCACAAGGCUAUAAGAAAUGCACCUGACUUACUGAGAAACAGAAACAACACCUGUGGCUUUCUAGCGAUGAGAUUGUUUCCUAAGGUGAUAGGAAGUUUUGCUAAAAAGGAUGGCUAGAUUAUGUUGAACUUAGUUUGAAAUUUGUCUCCUUUAAACAUAAUACUAUGUCAUGUUUGUUUGCUGUAAGACAGUAAUCACUCUCUGCAUGUUCUCCUGCAAAUAGGUCUGCAUUGUGAGUUUCCUGUACACCAUCACAUUUAUUGUUUGCUGUUUCUAGGACUAUUGAAAUGCUUUCCAGCAAGAGACUUAAUUCUACAGCUCACCCACCUUGUCACCAUGUAACUUGCCAUCCUCACAAAGUGCAUAUCUGAUCUUAUGACUAUUUUCUUUUCUUCCACACAAGAGGUGACUUUGAAAUGACCUAAAACAAUUGCUUUACUGUGUGUGGCAGUUAUGAAAGAACACUUGGGUUAUGGUGCUCAAAUACCAGGGUCUGCCACGCAUGUGAGGAUAUGGAAAAUUGUGGAUUCUCAGCCUCUGAAAACAGAUAAAUCAUACCUUCCUAACUUAGUAAAAGCUUGAAGACUUGGCUAAAAUAAGUGGGUAUUAGUUUGCUGAAAGGAAAUUUGUCAGGGCUGACAGGGGAAGCUAGGAAAAUCUCCAGCAAAUGUGUUAAACUUUGAUUCUAAACAACCAAAGGAUAGCUCUCCCCAUUACUUGUGUUAAGUCUCUGUGGUCACUUGGAGAAGAAUAAUGUGACAAAUAACAAUCCAAAUGGAUCAGUCAUGUCAUCAGUAAAAUCAGUCAUAUAAUCUUGCUUGGUUUUGCUCCUUGAUUGGAAAGCUAAUUAAGUAUUUAAGGAUUGUAUACCUUUGUAAUUUUUGUUUCAUAUAAUUCAGAAAGUGCAGUAGGGAAUCUGCUUUUCAGAAAGAUUCAACAACAGCAUACAGGCAAAGGAGACUGCACUGCAGUAUGCAAAUAGUGACUAUGGUCUUACCAUUGCAGAAUCCUGUUUGAAUUGAGUAAAUCCAGUUUAUUGGGCUGAGUAUACACAGAUUAUCUGACUAAUUUAUGUAUAGGAAUGCUAACGUUGUUUUUUGAGGCCUGUCCCUUUGUGCAUGUGCUUUAAAGACGGGACUAUCUCACAGCAUUCUUGUGUGGUUUGCCAAUUAUUUUUUAUUUUAUCCAAUAAGUCAUCUUGGAAGGUAGGGUUGCGGAUAACUUUCCUGUUCUGAGAUGCCCAGAUGCCUAAAGGCUGUAGAAUAUUUUAAGUCAAAGCAUGGAAUCCUAUAUAAAAAAAGGACUUCAGUCAUAAUGCAUCUUUUGCUGCUUAGUGUCAAUGAAUUGUUAGCCCACAGAAAGUCAAUAGGAAAUAACCUGACUGUUAAUAAGCUCAUUAGCAUCAUGUAACUAAAAGCAGAAUCAGGUUUGUAUUUCAAGCAAGUUCAUUUGUAGAAGACAAUUGAAAUAACAGGAGUGGUGGUUUUUUGUUUCACCUUAUGGAGAGAGAUUAAAAAGAUAAUACUUUGGUCCUUACAGUGAGUUCCCUGAAGGCCACUGAUUUAAAUUCAAAAAGGCCAAACUUUUUGGGAUGAAUUAGAAACUUUUCCUAGAGCAUGUUAAUAGCUCUCCAAUGAAGGAACACUCUUCCCUUCUCCCCAGGGCAGUUCACCUUUUCCAGUUUUUUUUUUUUUUAACCUUUAUUGGUGAAGACACAUAAGGCCAAAAUAUCAUUGGCUGUGUAUUUUUCUUACCUUUCUGUUCUUAAUAGGAAGUUGGGGUCCUCAGACUUUCUUAUGUUGAUUUGAUGUUGUUUCUGUAAGUGGAACAAACUUCCUUAAUCAGUAAACCAGAAAAAUGGAUGGAACCUGCUUUCCAAAACUAUUUCCAGAGAUAGUGGAAAGCACUCAGUGGAGGCUUUUGUUAAUUUAAACUGUUGAGUUGGCAGCCUAGGCCACACUCUUCCCCACUAGGAUGGGGAAUACAAGCUUUUCCAUUCCUGCUAUAACCACCCAUUGUGUCACUGAUGACUGCAUGGGUAAGAUGCAAGGAUAAAGGAAGUAGCUGAAUAACUAUGCUUAUUUAAUCUUCUUUUAACUAUUGAGAUUUCAGGAAUAGUGGCAAUUAGAAAAAUUGUAAUUGCAGUCUGGGCAUUCAUAUGAAUUAAAUGUCACAAGUGAAUCAAAUUCUGUAUAAUGAUUUUCCUGCAAGGAUUCAAAUUCUGCUGGUUUGACUUGGUCAGAAGCUGCUGUUAGGAAGACUCCAUAAGAACUCUAGGAUCAACGGUUGCUAUUUGCCUCAGUUCAGUAAUUGUUUUCUUUUAUGCUACUUUUUAGAGUGCUCUGACAAGGAAGGAAUGAACAGCUUAUCUUAUCAAGAUUUAUAGUCAAUAGCUUCUGUAGUCUUGUGAAGAAGACAUCUGCUGUGCAAAUAGCAAGGUUAAAGUGAUUGCACAUGAAGUAAAUACAAACUUCAGCUAGUAUUUCAUCCUGAAAACCAGUCUGAACAAUACUUAGAUAACUUCAUGUAAUGCAAGCCCUUUCAUAAUCUUGACCCAUAUACAAUUUUGUCAAAUCCAAGGUCAGAUAGAAUUUAAAAAAUAAGCUUUAUUUGAACUUCUGUAACCAUGAUUUCACAAUUGUAAGCAUGCUCUUAAAAAAAAAAAAGAACUAGUAUUGUGUUGUGGGUUUUUAAAAAGAUUCUUACAUAAGUCUCAAAGUUUGAUCACUUGUAAUAGAAAAGAAAGUAUUAUCUAUUUGUUUAGGAAAUAUCUUCUAAACCACUGCAACAGCAGACAAAAGGAGUUCAUUUCAAAUUGAUUAAUGUGCUAUAAGUACCUAGAAUUGCUUGGUCUAGUCACUUUGUUGCUUUCUCAUCUCUCUGAAAAAUCAAAUGAAGCAUCUGAAGAUACCUGAUUGAUGCAGUCGGCUUUAUACUGAUAUUACAUUGCAUUUCAGGAAUGUUCAAAAUGGGGCAAUAAUUUUCAAUCUAUGUUCAAGCAUGCUGCAGUUAAGUUUUUCUAUCAGAUUAUACGAAGUCCAUUUCCCAAAGAACUGUGGAUUUUUGUGUUGUGCGUUUGUGGGCAGGUGCUUUUAUGUAUGGACCUUUAUAAAUAUGUAUGAGAAAACGAUGUGUCGGUGAUAUUGCCUACUGUUGUAGUAUGCUGAGGUGCAUUUUUUCCUCCAUAACCCAUACUACCUCUUUUGCUUCUAUAUAAGCUUUAAUUAUUUUAUUUGCUCAGAAGCCAUGAUUUCAUUUCAUAAGGUUUGUACAAAUUUUCCAAAUCUUGCUGCAGAAUGUUUCAGGACCAAAUCCGGUAAUUCAUUGUUGAGAAUGUUGAAGUACAGGAAACUGUAACAAAGAAGAUUAUUUUCCUCCUAAAUAGAGAAUUUAGACAAGAUAGUAUUACUAAUUCCUAUAUUUGUUUUUCUCAGCUUGCAAGGAAAGCAUGAAUUACCUGAAAUUUUCAAUUCUGCAAAGUCUUAGAUGUGGAUGUGAUCUAGCCAAAAGAAGUUCAUGCACCUAAACUUCCUGAAGGUGUAUAAAAAUCUUACUGCUGAUUUGGUUUCUUUAUGAAAGCAUUCAGUGAAAUAAAAACAUAGCCUUUGGUAUCCACAAGCUGUACAUGCAAACUCUGCAGGAGAUCUUGAGCUGCAAUAAAGGUGGAAAUACAGAAAAACUUAAAAAUUCCCUCAGGAACCCCCUCCAGUUCAUAGCAGAAUGGCUGGCUCCUCGCCAUGCUGUCUCUGGCUACUGGCCAGCACCAGUACUCUGUGACCCCUUCUGACACAGCUCACAGGGGCUGGAAGAUGAGUUAAUGCUGCUUCUAGCACCAUUAAUGAAUCAAAUUUUAAAUGUGGAUUUUCAUCCGCAGUGGUGUGAGAAAGUCCAUUGCUCUGAGAAGAAACCAGGAAAGAGAAACGUUCUCUUAAUAUUAGAUUUUGUGUAGCUGAAUAAAAGGUGUCUUUUUCUUCUGGUCAACCCCAAAAACAACAUCGUUGGUGUCUUACAAUAGCAUGAGAAAAGAAAUAACUGAUUUUAUUAGCAUAUUACCAUGAUUUGUAUAGCAUAUCUUGUAUGUGUACUCUGAAAGCUGCCUGAUACAUAGCUUUCAGUGUUGUUCUUUCUUGGUCUAAAAUACAAUGGAAUGUCCUGGUUCAGGACAAAAAAUAGCAGAAUACAUUUAAGCCUGUACUUAACUUCCAUUGACUGUAAUGAGGUUAAAAAAAGGCUAGUAAAUUCUAAUAUGCGUAGGUAUUCUCACGUAGAAAUACUUAGGAAAGAUUAUUUCAAGAUAUUAAUCCUCAGAAAUGGAAUGCUGGCACUCUUAAAAAUUUAUUGAACACAUAUUGAAAAAAGUAUACUGCUGUCUUUUGAGAGCAAAGCAAUUGUGUCUUGAAAAUCUGGAAGUAGAGCACAAACAGGAUGAGAUUAAUCUCAAGAUCAUGGAUGUAAACCUUAAAUAGGGUCUCCUAAUGAUAGUGAUUUACCAAAAGUAUUUCUUUUAAGUAGCUGAAGCAGUAACACAAGUGAAUAUUCUUUUGCAGUAUAAAUUGUGUUCAAUUCAGUCUCUAUUUUCUUGCUUAUUGCUGCAGUGAAGGAGGCAAAACAGUUGCAUAAUCCAGUCUUUAUUGUAUUGGUAUAAUUUGCAUGUUUUCUUUAUUGUUUCAGAACCAUCACGAAUUAUUAUGAAACACCUAUUUUCAUGCUGGAUGGAUGAUUGGGACUGCUGAGUGAAUUUUUCCAUAUUUUGGGGGUUGUGUGAUAAGGAAAUAUCAAAAGGCACUCUAGUUUGUCUGUUAUACAGUAAGAGGCAGGAAUUACAGACCCUGGUGGGUGGACAUGUGAUGAGACUUCCUUUGACUGCUGUCCACCAAGGAAAAGUAGAGGUGCUGGUGUCCUGGAGCCAUAUGUGACAUGUGGCCAGGGAAGGUAAGCUUUAAUUGAUACGGAGCUUUUGCCUCCAAAAAUACCCCAAAUGUAGUAUUUCAAGAUAGUUGCAUUGGUAAGUAUUUAACGUUGUAGUUAUGCUGCUGUUGUCACUUGUAGGAAGUAGGAAGGCUAGGGUGACAUGAGGUAUCUCUGCUUUAUGCCAGUAGGAGUUUUGUGAACAUGAAUUUACACUGGCAAAAUUGUUGCUGCUGUAAUCUGUUCUGUGCAUUACGGCUUAACUGGAUUGGUAUAAUGCACAUCCCUGUAACAGUCACAGUAGGAGAGUGCCUGGGUAUCCCUGCAUUGGAGUACCCCAUAGAAUGAGCAAAUGGCAGGCACGUUUCUGUGUGAGACACUAAUUCUUAUUUACUCGUGUUGCUACAGCUUCACAGGGGAGUCUGAGGCCCUUGCUUACAGAGUAAGGGAGAAAUUUAAAAUCCUGGAAUAUCAGGGUUUUGCACUUACAGCUCUCAUCAGGAGGCUGCUGUCACGGCUGCUGGAAACAGGUUGAUGUCUGAAGUGCAGCCAUGGAAAAUAUGUUAGUUGAACGCCCCCUAGCUGAAAUAAUUUUCAGAACAUGGCUAAGACAAAGGUUUCCUGAGGAUUUCAAUAUACAGCUGGGAGGAAUUCCACGUUCAAGCUUCCUUGUGUUUUGGUUUCAGCUCAGCCAAGCAGUUACUCUAAGGAUGGAUACAUUUUAGUUCAUAUACUGAUCAUUUUAGAAAUGUGUCUUGCAUUAAAAAAGCAAUUUUCAUUUUUUGUUCCUGUUAAUUAAGUUGGUACAAAUUUGGACAUAUGAGGGAGGCUGUGCUUGCAAAACUCAUCUGAAAGCUAGAUUGGCAUAGAUGUAUUCCUACUUUAGAGCCAAAUUAAGCAAUCCUACAAAUACAAGUGUCACAGAGCUCUGUGUUUUCUCUGGUGUCAUAUAUUGCAGGUACUUCUCAAAGCAAGAGAGCUCUGCUUUUUCUUUUAGUAAAUUGACUGAACUUUGAAUAAGCCAAUAGCUUUGGUUUCAUCUUCAUUGAAGUGUACAUUUUAAUAUAGAGAAAGAAAAGAAGGAAAACCUCUUUCUAUGUAGUUAGACUUUGACUUUAUUAUAUACACAGGAUGGCAUUGAUUCUACCUCUUCCUUGAUCAGAUUGCUCAGCAUAGAUCCGUCCACAGUCUGUCAACACUGUAUACAUUCAGGAGAAGUUUUGAUGUAUCCAGAAUGAUUUCUACUGCCCAUAUCCUCUCUUUCUCUCCCCUCUUUCUCCAUAAGUCUCAUUUUUAGUGUCAUGUUAGAGAGAAAUACAUGGCCAGUUUAAAAACCCCAAAGCUACACAAAAUUAAACAUCUCAGGAAAUACACUUAACUGCUGCUUGAUUUUGGACAGGCUGUGCUGUGAGAGUUUCUUUAACCAUUAACAAAGUAUCGCUUGGCUAGGAAGUCGGUGAUAGGCUUGUUAAAAUGGUCAUACAGCCCUUCCUUUGCAAUGCUGACAUCACUGCUUACACACAGAACAGAGUUUUUGAGGAUGAAGUAGUAUUGUAACAGUAGAUUAGCCUGGUAGUUGCAAAAAUCAAGCUAUUGAAUAUUGGAGACUUCCUUUCCUGACAUUAUCAAAUGAGGUUUUGUUGUCUUACUGUUUUCUGUGCAUGUAAGAGUGCAUGAGAAGGUGGACUGUCACCACAACUUGUUUAUGUAUUAUUCUUCCUCAAGCAGAGUAUACAGAACUGAGCAGGAGUAAUUGAUAAUAGACUACAGCAAAUGCUGUCUUCAAAUUUACAACAAGCAUAACAAAAGUAUACUCAGUAUGUCUCAACUGCUAAUCAACAGCAGUUGUGAGAAAAAAAACUGACAGAGGUUCAGUACUUCCAUCCCCUCCAAUUAGUACUGAGCAAAAUCUGGUCUCCCUUGUAUUUCAAAAAGCAAAAAGUAAGCUUUUAAGCAACUUGUAAAACAACCUCAUAUUGGCAUUCUGCAGAAUGUAUAAAAGCAGCAAAAAAGACACUACCCCUGUUUUUCCUUUGUGGAUCACUGUUAUGUUCAGAGAUUUCUUUUCUCAUGGCUGCAACUGCAGUAGUCAAGUCCAGAAGCUGAUGUGCUGUCUUUUAAGGCCCCUGUUAUUUUUUUGCACCUUUGGGGAAACCAAGACUGGGAGACACAUGAUAGAGUACCUGAAAGCAUAAGGUAGUAGCUCCUUUCCAGCUGCAGGUACCUGACAUUUUAAUGGUUACAGGUGUAUGUCCAAAAGUACAGUGGUUUUUUUUUUUUUAAAUUUGAAAAUCAAUGAGAUCAAAAAGUGAAAUUUGGAACUGACUUUUGCACAGUUCUUUAUGAAGUGUGAUCAGAAUAUGGUAUAUUAGUAAGACUACAAUAACAAGGCAUGGCAAUUAUCUGAAAAAAUCCCUUUAUUUUCUCACAGGGUUUUUUUUUCCUGUAUUAAUUAUUCUUUACUAUAAUUUGAAAAAGGACAAAAUUACAUUUCCUUCCUUCCUUCCUGCCUGUCUGCCUGCCUGCCUGCCUCUCUUUGGGAAUCACACUGAUAAUAGGCUGCUAAGUAGUAAGGAAUUAAUACAUUUAUCAGCUCAUCCAUUUUAAAGCAGCUAUCUAAAGCAUGCUACAUAUGAAAAUCUCCAACAAUUACACUGGUAUUCGUAGUUUUUGCAUAAAUAAAGAAUUGGUAGGUGCAUCUUUAUAUAUAUAUUUUGUGUAUACUACUUUCAGUUAAGAAAUGAAUUUGCUGAUAAAACACUUGAGAAGAUUCUUAGACUUGAAAAAUCAAGAUAGACAAUAAAAAUAUGUUAGACAAUAGCUUACAUGUUUUAGUCUUGCAAGUCUUGAAUAUGCUGAACUACAAUGAUUAUUGUCAACAUUACUGAACUAUCUACCUGCACAAAAAUUAAACCAAGAUGACACAAACUAUGAAUUGCUAUAUUGCGUUUCUGAACCGUUAUGAACUAAUUCCACUACCACCUACUAAUUAGUUACUGAAGCCUAAACAUAAUACAAUUGCUGUUUUGUAACAAAGUAGCAAACCAUUACAAAGGAACAGAGGAAAUUAAAGUUUAAGCUGUAUUAGUUUAGCAUGUGUUUUAAUCAUGCUGCCAAAUUACUUCUGCGUUUAGCUAAAUAGAUAACUUUAGUCAUGAAAGCUCAGCAAAAGAACUUGACUCAAUACUUAAAUACUUAUAAUCAUACAAGUUUGAGUGCAUAACACUGAGUCAGGACUUUGACUUAUCCCUGCAAUUGGCAUUUUUACUAAAGAAAUCUUUGUUUGGAUCCCAAUUCUUAAAAAAAUCUAGUUCUAGACCCUUCUGUAACAAAAUAUCAAUACGAAGUCCUUCUGUUACAGGCACUGCAAUAGCAUGCUCCUAUUACAAACAGAUGGGUUAUCUAAGACUCAUUAGUGGCUCAACCAUGAGGUUUUGUUGCCGUUAGAGUGUAAUCAGUCAGGAGGGAGAACUAUUUGGUGCUUGUCUAGUGCUUUAGUAAUUCAUUUGCUGUAGAUCCUCAUUAGAAUGGAAAAUUACAGCUGUAGCAGUGUCUUAGUUUCAAGAAACAGAAGCAUCUUUUUUCUUUCCCCUCUUUUUAAGAUAAAUCUUCCAUGCUUGUACGUGAAGGACAUGGACAAUGGAAGAAAAGCAUCAAAUGGCUGCUGGUAACUUAUUCAUUGCAUUUUAGCCAUUGGGGAAGUUCCCUGCUCUAUACAGCUGUGCUGGUUGCUACUUUAAGUUCUCUAAAGUUCUACAGUUCUAAGUUCUUUCUCCUUUAUCAGGAGAAAGAACCAAGCCUGAGAAUUAGUUACUGUUGGAAGUAAUGACAUGUGAUGUUAUGAAGAGUCACAAGAAUUGCAGCAUUUAUUUCCUUUGCAGACUGUUUUGUGAAAAGGGAAAGGAAAAAAAAAUAGGGAAUCUUGAAAAAUCUAAAGUCAGAACUCAUAGGGUUUCACAUUAUUUUCCUACAGAGAGCAAGAAAAUUUGCCAUGAUUUUUUUACCACUGACAUGUUAUAUACUAUGAAUCCACAGCUAUUAAAGUUUAGUGCUAAUCUAACUCAGCUCUGCAAGUGUGAACAGUGUUUGCAUGGUGGAAGAAAUAUUAACAGUAGGCCUCUGUGCUAGAGUAUGCAUGUCCUCUAAUGGAACCACUUGCUUAGUCUCAAGUGUGGGCUGAAGAAGAAAGAAUGUGCAGGCAGAAUAGGUGUCCCUCAGAAGACAGGAUUAAAUGAGAGGUUUAUGUCUCUGAGGUGGCUGCUCUGUGGCUAUUUUCCUGUAAUCACACUUCACCAUAGAGAUAACCAUAGAGCUGUGUUUCCAUAGUGCAUCUCUUGGCUCUCCCUCUUGCUGUAGUCUAUAUUUGUAGUGGGAAAUACAGAUCAGGCAAAGAGCUUCCACAGAUUUGAAGAAAGUUCCCUCUCUUGACCAAGGAGUGUGAAUGGCUGAAACAUGCCAAUGUUAGGCCAGACCUAUGCUGGCCAAAUUCAAUCUGUAGUGUCCAUCACUAAAGCUGACGGACAUGGUCCCAUUUGCAUAACACAUGCAGAAGUUUGAGACUUCACUGCUCCUGGCUGUCAGUCUGCUCCUUGCACUGGUGUUACCACCCCUGAGGCAAAGCUAGCACAACAAGAUAGGUGAGUUUGCAUCUUUACUUAUAUACUUUUCAGCCUGAUGGAUUAAUGCAAAUUCAGCUUCAUUGUUCAUGUAAAUUAAGAUAUCAGGUUUGAACUGACUAGAGAGAGGUGUGGACUUUAAGCUUUCUGCUGUCCUUUCUUCAGGGAACAGCCUGUUGCAAGAUAGGUAACAAAAGGCAGCAACACUGAUUUGCACUAAUAAACUUGUGGAGCCUUCUCUAUGCAAGCUGUAAAUUUGAAUUAUUUUCUUUAGCUAUUAAUGGAUCUUCAACGCAUCUUCUCUAAAUUAACAAGAGCAAAUAAUACUUCUCCAAUAUUCUUAAGAAACAGUUUUUUAGCAAACUCCUGGCUCUUAAUGAUUACUGGGAUAGCUAACCUUGGAUUUAUAUCUAAAGCCAUUACAAUUUUGACUGUCUCCAACUGCCAUUUUAAGUGAUAGUCAGAUCAACAUGCCUUGUAUAUUUAGCAAGUCUAGGUUUUUGGAAGCUGCUUGAGAUUUGACCUUGCUUUUUAAAUUACUCAGAAUAAUUUCACAGGUCUAAUUAGUGUGUGAGAAAAUCACUUCAACUCACCUCAUUUGACAUUAAUCCAUUAAAGUAACUCAUCAAGUUUUUCUAUUGUUAUAUAUUGCUGUCAGUGCUAGAUGAAUAAAGAUUCAAAAAGAGGAUUGGCCUAAACAGAAACUAUAAACCAGUGAAUCAUGUAGUCUUAAUAGCAAAUUUACCUUGGCCAGCAAAUUGUCAUGUAUCAGUUCAAAGUAAAAGAAACCCAGGAGGGACAAAGGUCUGGAGGGAGAAAGAGGAAAAGAAAAUCUAUGCUAUGUUUGUAGAAAACACCAGUUAAUCAGCUAGACCAGUUAAUAACUCUUGCUGCCUUUUUUAUUUGUCAAGGGCUCAAUAUUUUUUCAAUAUGAGGUCUGCUUCAGUGUGCUUUAAAUGGCAGUUUAUAAUUAAUGGUACUUGAGCAUCUCUUAUUUCAAAAAUUCAUACAACAUUCUUGGUUACAAUUUAUACAUGAUUUUAAAGUAUAAUUAACGUUCAGCUUUACAAGAUAUAUGCAAACAGAUAUGCAAAUUUGGAAAUAAAUAUGCAAACAUAUAAAAUGUUGUUGAAUUAAGUAGUCCUUAACAUUUUUAAUGAAAUCAAUAUUUUAUUCAUAUUUUGCACACAAUUUUGAGUACUUAGUGAUUUGGUAGUUCUCAGACUUUUGUGGACCAUGGCUGCAGAUUGAUUCUCUUGUGGCUCAUCAUGUCUUCCACUCUCUUGAACCUCAUACUUUCUUUAUGGAAAACAGGAGCUAAUCCAAACUCUCUAAACUAUUUGGAUUCUUUUCAAUUAUGCUUUGUGGAUAUUUGGGAUAGUAAACUUAAAAUGUUGCUGAAACAGUUGAAAAUGAUCUUUAUAAAAACUUUCAUAUUGAAUCACAUUAAAGGUUUGUCUAGCCCAAUAUCCUGUUCCUAGAAGUAGCUAAAUAAAAAGGGAAAGAUACGAAAAUAUACAUCAAGUAUAUCGCCUAGGUGUUUUUUGAGCACACAACCGAGUCAAGAAAUGCUUGGGUUUUUGUAUAUAUAUGUGUGUGUGUGUGUUUGUGUAUUCUGUCUAUCUUUAUAUAUGUAUAUAUAAAAAGGAGAAAAAAUACGGAAAACUUUUUUCACAGGAAUGUGAAUUGUUGGUUUGUACAAGCUAUGAUCUGUAAAUUUCAUACAGAUCUUCUGAAAAAGUUGCCCUAAAGAAAGGGAUUCCACAUUUCAUUUAAUUUCUAAUUCCAGCUUUUGCAAGUUUUGAGCCAGAUGAAAACUUGGAUUUUUGCUGAUCUGAAUAAUAUAUAUUAUGGAUGUAUACAUAUAUUCUGGAUGUCCCUGACAGUGUUGGUGACACACCAGUUUACCUGUGUCUUUUGAGUGGUAGAGAUCCCAACCCCAGAUACACUAUUACAGAUGUGGUCUAACAAAUGAUGAGUUUCUCCUCCCUCAGUCUACUGAUUAUGGUGUUACUACAGUCCAGGAUGAUGGGUGCUGUCCUCACCAGAUAUAAUGUGAGCUCGUGGCUGCGAGCAAGGACACUGCCUCACCUGCCCCAGCCCCAGGAAAGGGAUCCUGCAAUCCCUGCAGCCCCUGAAGACUGGCAUCCUCUCCUCAAGAGCUCAUACAACCCAAAUGCUACCUCCAAAGGGCAUGUAGUUAAGAUACCCAUAUAAACGAAGUAUAAAGAUGUGUGGAAUUUUUUAUUUAACUGAUAAGACAGGAAAAUCCUCAGGGGUCCUGAGAGAAAAUCAGGGUUCUAGAUGUAGUUGCUAGUAAAUAACUAGCUAUUAGUACUGGGAGACUGAUGGGUGCUUGACAAUUGUCACAGACUGAACUAGGAAGUCAUAAAAUAUUGGUAUUUCAAAGUACAUCCUUUACAGUGUAAUAAGAGAAUGCACGCUGAGGAGAGGCACCAGGAGCAGUUGAAGGGCUUGGUGUUAUAAAGGCUAAAGGCUGAAGUAACAGGCAAAGUGUGGAGGCAGGUUUCCAUUCUGCCUUCAUUUACAUCCAAAGCAUGCUUUAAGGUUGCACAUUGUUUAACUACUGAAAGAAUUUCUGCAACUGGAAAAAAUUGCUGAAAUUGGCUGUUUCUUCAGACACCUAGAGUCCUCCAUCUAAAUUCUGCUGUUAGGUGUGCUUGGACAAGCAUUGACUUAGAUUGAAGGAAUUUGAAUACCUGAGCAUACACAUGUAGAGUGGAUGAGUAUGGCAUAGAAAAUUGCAUUCAAGUCACAAUGCACCAUAGAAUGCAGGAGGUGUACCCUAUUCAGCUUCCACUCUUAGAACCUGGGUAAAUGUUACAUUUUAGACCUCAUGUGCUAGAGAUCACACAAGGUGACUAUCACUUGAAGAGUAAAUGUGGUUCCCUAUCCUUGGUUUGCAAGAUUACUAAUCAAAAUCAAAUUCUUGGGCUUUAAUCCAUUUAGGGUUACUACACAAACUUGUUACAUACAAAAAGAGUCAUGCUGAAAUCUAUGCUGUUGAUCAUAUUGUGCAUUUUAAUAAAGUUUGUAGAUUUGGUCACUUGCAUUUUUUUCAAUUGAACCUAGAAUAUGUUUCAUUUAGUUUACAUUGAUGCAUAAGUAAUCAAAAUCAUAAUUAUAUUGCUAAAGAAACAUCACUUAAAAAUAGGCAUAUAAAUGCUGUUUUGAUCAUUGCAAACUACUAUUUGCUGUGCAGUGUUUUAGUUACGAGAUGUAGAAAAAUGUAUCUGCCUUUGCAGGUGCAUACUCGAAAUGCUGUUUCAGGGCAAGUAGUGCUAAUAUAUUUUUCUGAGAGAUAUUUGUUGAUUUAUUACUACAGGUAUAGUGAGUGAAAAUCAAUACAGCUGCUUCCCUGUACAUCUGUGGUAGUUUCAAAGUUUUCAGAGUAUACUUGACUGAAAAAAUGAAGAGCCUGGUAUACUUAGCAAACAGAGCUGUGCAACACCCUCUGCCUUCAUACCAAAUAACAUUGGUCUUUAAAAGACUAUACCUGUGCAUUUGCUCAUAUAGUUUUUUUUUCUCACAGUAUACCUCAGUGCUGGAUUCUUGCAAACUUUUGUUUCUGUGGGCUGGAUUUCAUUUCAGCAGAUUGCCCAAUCCCCUCUUCCUUCUCUUGUAACUGGUUUUGAACUAUCUCAAAUUCCCCAAUGGCUGUAUGACAAUCUGAAAAUUAACAAUGGCCCCUUACUUGCACAGGGCUAUGUGAUUCACAAAUUCCUUACUUAACUGAUACUUCUUUUCUCCUUACUUCCAGCCAGGCAAUCUUGUGUGCUUUUUAAACUGGUGUAAAGGCAGUAAAAUGUGUAUACAUUGAAACUUUUUCUUCCUGGCACUCCAUCACUUGCAAAGUAAUCUGAGGCUUUUCCAUAGGCUGAUGUAUUGGCAGUAACUUAAAAAAACCCCCAAAAAUAUAGAAACACGAUUUUUGAUUUGGCUAUAAAUUGGGAUUUCUUUCCUUCAGGCAGGCGGUAGGACAUGCCAGCUGGACUUUAUAUGUUGGCUGGUAAAAAGCUUUAGGAGCCAAAAUUAUAAUUAGCUCACUUAUAUUGAAAUAUGUUCUCCCUAGCUGUUUUGGUUUUUUUGCCAGAGCCUGAUGCAAUUUCUGAAAGAUGCAAUUUCCUUCAGCACAGGAAAUACGCAUCAUACUGUUGGCACUGAGCAACCACCCGUGCAGUGGCUGUUGCAGUGCUUGCAGGAGGAGGCGAUGCAUCUGCUCCUGGGCACAUUUCCAGGGUGUCUGGCUGCAGGGCCGGGUGCAGGGGGCUGGCACUGGCUGGGAUUGCUCAGUGCACUGACUGCAGGCAUCUACGCUCCAGGCAUAGGGGGCAGGAAUUGCCCAGACUUGCAGGACAUGCUUUUUAGAAGCAAUCUGGGUGAAAAGCAGGGCUAGUCCAGCAACAAAUCAUCAGUGCAAGAAAGUUGCUUGUAUUUCAGCAGCACCUAGUUUUAUGUAUUAUAAAGAAGUGCAUAAGAGACUCCAUUGAGACCCAGGUGUUACCUAUUCAAAAUCAAUAUUGCACACUGUACGUAAGUGGUGGGAGUGAAGGACUGGUAGGCAUAGCUGAAAGAAAUUUUAUUAAGGAACUUUGACAGGAAACAUGGACUACAGCACAGGAUGCAGAUCUCAAAGACAUAAUGGAUACUUAUUGGGACAAUUAAAGUCUGUUGAGAUGGCCAGUGAGAGUAAAGCUAGUCUAGGAAUGUUUUCCUUCACCCCACUCUGUCACUCUUCUGAUUUUAGCAUAGAUGUGUCCACUGUGAGAACUGGUCUAUAUCUUCUGUAGAUCACCAGAGUUGAGAAAGGGAGUGGAGGAUACUGAGGGAGACAGGAUAGCAAAUGAGAUUUCACAACAAGUCAGACACAGCUCUGCAAGAAGAAUCCAAAUUCUCCUGUUUCACAAUUCAGUGCCAUCCAGUGGUUCAUUUCAAUUUGAUCUGAACUUGUUACUGAUUUUUUCUCCCACUGUUUGGACUGUUUGUUUGCUAGAUGAAUAUUCAAUCUUAUUUGGGGUGGUAAAAUGCUUUUGCCUGAAAGUUCUCCCAGAGUCUGUGUUUGGUUGAUUCCUUUUACUUGCAUUUGUUCUUUCUCUGUUGCAGGAGCUUUCCCAUGAAUGGGGAAGUUUCUCAAAAUGAACCCAUUUUUUAAUUCCAUAUUAGAUAUUUAUGAUGGUUACACAUUUGCAUAUUUUGAAUAUUUUGCUUUGUUUUGUAUAAGAUUUGUCCAACUUUCCAUUUUACUACUUUCUCCCAAAGGAAUAUAAAACUUUCUUUAGGAACAUAAUUUAAUUUGGAUAAAAGACUCAUAAACUUCUAGCAUUGGGGAAAAAUGUAGAGGGACUGUUCCUCCUAGUCGAAGAUGCAAAAGCCUAUUAGUCUGUGCGAGAGCCGUGCGCCGUUGGCAGCUGAGUUUAGCCGGCUCAGCUCUUCCCAGCCGAGGUUUAGCAGGCUCUUCCCCAGCCGAGGUUUAGCCGGCUCUUCCCAGCCGAGGUUUAGCAGGCCAUUCCCGCAGCUUGGCUGAGCGGCUCUUGCGCUGGCGGGGCCGGGCAGAGGCAGCCGCCCUGGCGUUCUCAGGAUGUGCACGCACAGCCAUGGGGUGCUCCAGGGCAAAGAGAGCCCUCUCCGGCAGCAGCCGGGCAUCCGCAGGACUCGAGAGCGUUUUAAAGAGUACUAAAUAAGUUUCUUAUUAUUUCAGCAUGAAAACCUAUAGUAUGUUCAUGGAUUGAUUAACUGAUUUUAUGGACAGCCUCCCUUCAGAUUGAAUUCUCUAACUGGUUUUGAAACUGAUUCCUUGCAGACACAAGAAACACAUGGAGAAUCGUAUUCUUGCAAUCACAGAUCAAUUCAGCUCAAGUGACAUUGAGGAGAAACUGUGCAAUUAUCCAGCUGUACUGACACCAUUAGGGAGCUUGUUCUGGAUCACAGGCCUGGAAAUUCCAUUUCAGCACUAUAAAGUCUGAUUCAUCGAGGAUGAAACGUCACUUUCAGGAAUGCUGUUUAGUGGAGUAUGUAUGUAUGGAAAUUAUGUUCUGGUAUGGAGAGGGUCCUGGGUUAUGUGUAUUUUAUGAUCCACAUAUCACUAAUUCAUCUUUUCCUUUUGAAACAUAACACAUGUUUGAGCUUCACUGAUACGGGUUCCUGCUUAUUAUAGUUAAUGGAUUAUUCAUCCUCUUUGUCCUUGACAUAAUCCUAAGUAUGUGCAUAAAACUCAGAUCAUGUUGCCCAUAAAAACCAAUCAGCCCAGAGUUCUUCUGCAAGGUGUUGAACGUUCACCCAGAGCAGAUGGUAAAGAUAAUGUUUAAUAAAGAGUUAGAGGAUUAGUUGGAACAAAAAUAAGCUAAGAGAAAGGGAUAAUUUCAUUUCAUAUGAAAGUCCAUGACAUUUCAUGUUCCCAAGGACUGAUUAAAAUUAUGCCAAAAGCUGCUCUUUUUGGCCAGUUUGUCCUAAUACUGACCCUGCUUAUGUUGUCAGCUGCUGUAUCUGCAUGUGUUAUUUUACCACUCUCCGAAUAACUCAAAAGAAAGCUCUUCUGAUUCUCCUGUGGCAGGGAAAAGUAAUUCUUAAUUAAAUGGGAAGAGGAGAGAUGACAGGAUUCUGCUAAAUAUGAUGAAUAUAUUUAAACAACUGAUAUCUCAACUGAGGUUUAGAAGACAAGUUUUAUAGAUAAUUUUAAACAUAAAUAAAUUUUAAAUGGUAGUUUUCAGAAUAUGUGGAGUUAAGCUUUGAUUUGCCUUGAAUAUUUAGAUGCUGAAUGGAAAACAGAGCAGGGGAUAGUCCAUAAAUGAUUUUCAGUCUUGUUUUAGGAAAAUUUAUUUUUGCUAUCAAAAACAUAGAGGAGUAACCAAACCUAUACAUUUUGCAUAUUGCAUAACAUAUGUAAUGAAUGUCCAGUUGUUCUUUAAUAAUACUUAUUAAUAGAAAUUGAAUAAAACAAAUCAUAAGCAAAUAUUUUACAGUUAUGGUAUUUCUGGGCUCGUAAUUAUCCGCUACAAAUUUAAGAUUUAUAAAUCAGAAUCUCUGACAAAGUAUAUCAUGUAUGAAUGCUGCAGAAACAAGUAAGUGGAAUUUAUUGUAAAUGCAGUGUCCUUUGUUCUGAACACAAAAUUUAAAUUAUUUGAAGCUGUUCUCAUAAAUAAACACAUGUUCUUUUAAGAAGACAUUUUAGAAUGGUUAGUGGGAGACAGAAGACAACUCUUUCUUUUAAUUGUUAUGGCACAAGAGCAAAACAGGAUCAAAAUCCAAGCUAUUAACUUACUUUACUGAGACUCAGUGGUCACUGAAGCAUAAAACCAGAUGUAAGCAUCUCUGGACUCACUCCAGCUGAAGCUUAAAGCUCUGACCAGUCUUUAAUGGUAGAGAACUGUUAGCUGCUUCUGUAAUGCAGGAAGACAAAAGUAUUCUAGAGUCAACAUGAUGGCUUUUGCACUGAAGUGGGCCAAAGCCCAAACCUUUGAAAACCUCUUGAUAUUUGCUUGCUUGGGUAAUAUAACUACCUAGUACUUCCAGAAUUCAGCUAAAAUAUUCUCAAAACCUGCUCUGCAUUUUAUAGCCAUUUCCUAUGCUUAAGACAGUGUUUGGCUCCCUAAAAUAAACACCCUAAAGUAGUAUUCUGCUGCAGAUUAUUCCUAACUUAACUUAUGCUCCUGUUGUUUCUCAAAUUAGUUACUUUUGAAAAUGUUCCAUUGGGCACUUCAAACAGCUGAGUAUAUUUAAAGUAGUCUGAAUCAACAUAAAAAUAGCAAGACACAGUUAAGAAUAAACUGGAAAUUAAUGAAACCUUAAUUUCACUGACAAUAAUUGUAAAAAUUUUAUUACAAGAUGCAGGUUUAGCUGACUAAUGGUUGUGAAACACAUUACUAUAAAACUUAUUUCCCAAUUUUCUUCAGUCUGCUAAAUACUUGUCCAUACUUCAUUGUAGCCAUCUUUUGAAAUCACAGUGGCAAGAAUAAAGCUCAGGAUGUCUGUCAGCUGAUACACAGUAUCAGCAUGAGAUAGUGCAGCUCAGCAAGAAGAGAGGGUCAUAUCACACAGCUGAGAUGAGACAUAGAUAAGUCUAAAGCAAGUUAUAGCUUUAUCUCAUCUUAACCUUGAACCAGAUGCCCUUCCCAAAGCCCUCCCUUCCCCCAUCCCCUCAUGCUUGUAGUGCACUACAGCUGUGCUGUAACAAGCUAGAAUUAACAAAAUUGGAGAUGGGAGAAAGGCAGCCUUAAAAAGGGUACUUUUUCAUUCAAAACAUGUUUCUGAAAGUGUACAGAUAGAAAUAAAUUGAUUGACUAGCUGAAUUUUGAAAUAGAACAAGCAAGUCAGGUAUGAAAGGACGACUUCUGUUUUAGCACUUCAUGUUAGUAGAAAACUGAUAGCAAUGAAAUGUAUUGUGAAACAAAAUAUUUCUAACUUGUUCAUAUUUUUAAUUUAAAUAAUAUUCCCACCACAAUAAACCCCAGAAAUUGUGGCCAUUGAGGAGUGGGUAGGCAUUCUAAUUUUUUCCCAGAUGGUGAAUGAUUAAUGUACAAUUAAUUUCUCCCAGCACUUGCAAUGUUGUUCACCUUGCAAGUCCCUUCAGUUACUCACUCUCCAGCCUGCAAAGUAGUGUGUUCAUAUCAUUCUCAGAUAAUGCUUUUUUUCACCUAUCUGUAUUUUUUUGUCUUGGUAGGGAAAUGUCAGAAAAUAAGCUUUGUUUUGAUUUCUUCUACUUUGUUUUUUUCAACUGCUGCCUUUUCAAAAGUUUUCAGAAAUCAAAUGUGUGUGGCUGCUUUUUAUUUCCCAUUUUAUCUGCAGUGGUUUCCUAGCUUUCAUUCUCCAGCUCUAGUAUCUCCUUUAAUGGGGUCUCUGUGCUUUUUUUCUCACAAGGUGAACACUUUCUUCAUUUUUCUGUCUGAAUUAUACACUCAUACUUCAUUAAGAGAUUUUUGUGUUUUGGUAGCUCUGGGAUAGGUGAGAUCCUACCACUAAGCAAACUGCAUUUUGGAUGUGUUUCUUGUAUGCAUAGUUACUGCUCUUGACUUGGACUAAUAAAAAAUAUUUUUUUUUCCUAAGGCUCUUAUAUUCAAAUUAAUAAUAUCUUUUUUCAUUGUUAGAUGCUUGUCCGAAGGAAGGUUAAAGUAAUGCUUGAAUAUCAUGAGACAGUAAUUUUUUUAACAGAAAAUCCACAAAUUAUUCAUUAGCCCAAUACUAGGGGAUCUCCAGAAUAAUGCAGUAUACCAUAUAUGUCCAAAACUCAGAGUACAGCUAAAUUUUCUCUUCCUCUCCAACCUCUGAGGUCCCUGCUGAAGAUUUACUGUCUUACCUGCCUGAUAUCUGGGGAAUUAAGUUUUACUGCUUUAAGGAUUCCCAUGUUCCAAAGACUUGCUUCAGUUUUCUGAAUGUGUUUUUCAGUAAAUAGCCAUUUGGAAACGGGAACCAACUUUCUCUGGAAAUGGAUUGGUCAAGCUCUUCAGUCCACUUGAAAACACUUUACAAUUUCUGGCAUAGAUGUGUGAGAAUAAUUUCAUUAUUGAAACCAUUACUAAGGGGAGGAAUUGAGGAGGUGAAAAUGGGCAGAUACUGAUUCUGCACCAGAAGGGAGGUGGGUGGACAAACACACAGAGCUCAUUGCUGAACUACUGAAGUUGGAGCCAAAGGCCAGGGUUAUGUGGUCUGAGAUCUACCAGGGAAGGAGAGUGUCUUCUGUGGAGAGUAUCCUACAAAGGAAGGAGAUUCAGUCCUUGUGUGUAUUUCAGCCUCGGCGGAAACCCAAGGCUCUGAGUCUGUGAAGGAGAAAAGCUCUAAAAGAGCUGACUUGGAAGGUUACACUGGCAGGCAGAAAACAUGGGGCCCUUACCACAGUGCUGCUCCUAGAACAUUAAAAAUCUAUAGAUGCUAGCUGAGAAUUUUGCAAGCAUGUCUGAAUGCCAAAUCAACUGAGGAUGUUCACUUGCUGCAAUUGAAUGCUGGUCUGUUCAUCACUGCCAGCUGUCUCCUUGGGAUCCUCUAGCAACAGCUCCCUGGCUCUUGCGCAUGCAAAACAUUUGAAUUUCCUGUUGGCUCAGAGAUAUUAAGUGACUGAAAAUCAAUAUUUGAAGGAAAGAGAACAGCUGGGAACCUGGAGUUCAGCAUAGACAUUUUGCAUAAUAGGGAAUUCUUGUUUUCCAUGAAACAAAGACAAGAAACAUUACCGUGUGGCCACUUUGCCUCCAGAUUUAAUUUUUUUUUUAAUAGAAAAUGGUGGAUUCUUUUUGGGAGAACUAUCAAACAAAAAAGUGUCUGGAUGUCAUAGCUGCAUCCUGUGAAUGUCUCUUUAGUUUCACCAAUGGUAAAACCUGUUUUGACCUUCUAAUAAAAGAGAACAGCCCAAAUAGCCUGUUUAAUAUACCAGAGAAAGCACAGUGUCUCCAAAGGACCUGGCCUAAGUGAGCACCCAGAAUCCCAGAAAGCCAAGAAAUUUGAAGGCAGUCAGACUUGAUUUAAUUAUUUUUUACUACAAGUCUUAUUUCAGAGAAUGAUUAACGGGAGAAGAGACAUAAAUGGCAAAGUCUUGAUCAAAGAAGCUGCUGUCAGGGUACCAUCUAGAUAAAUUAGGAAAAGAAUGCUCAGGUUUCUGUGAAAGAAGACUAAUGACAUCAAGUCAAGAUGAAAUAGAAAGGAGCAGCAUUGCAGGCUAGAAAUCAUAAAACACUAGCAUGCCCUGACAAGAAGCCCUGAGAAAUUUCCCGAACUGGAAAGUAAUUGGAAUUGGAAAGGAAUUACUUUCUGUAAGUGCCGGGUCUUGAAGUUAUGCAGGACUGAAGAUGACCCAGGCACCAAAUUUGCUUUUUGGAACCUGUCAAGACAAGUGAAGAAAUCUGGAAGCAUCUGAAGCAGCAGCUGUUAGUAUCAGCUCUACACACUGCAGGUGUUCUACAUCUUAUGUGCUCACUCUACUCAACUAGGAUCAGUCCCUUCACUUAAAAGCUCAAACGGUCCCGCCUGGAGGCAAGCAGACAGUGGAUAAAAGGAGACUGUGAAACUAACAGCCAGUAAGCAUUUGUGUAAUUUAGAGAAAUUGUUUACACGAAUGGCAGUUUCCUGGAGAGAACAGUGGCCCUAGCUGAAACCAAGAGAAAGACUUACAAGUGAUCUGAAUGCACUUGUGCAAAGAGAGGCAUCUUAAAAGAGUUCUUGAACAGGAGGUAAUCUGACACAAAGCGUAUUUGCACCAUAGCAUUUUUCAAGAUGACCAUUUGGAAACAACAUUUGGAGGAACAUUUGGAUUGCAUCCUCUAACUAAAUUUCCAAGCUGUUGGUAACGGACUAAAGAAAAUGUGGUCUGCACUGAAUACUAAAGAGCUGCGAAUACAUCCUGGCUGCAGUGGUGUAACUGUGCUGACAUUUGCACAGACGGGCAGAUGGUACCUGGGACACGUCUGGUUGCAGUGCAGACCUGAAGAUCCUAGAUGAAGAAGCCAAGCCACCGUGUUUUGGCCUGAUUUAUAAGAAAACUGCUUCUCAGCAAAUGUAGCCUGUGUUAUCCUUUCUGCUAAUGGAAAAAAUGGGACCUCAGUUAUUUUACUUCUGCCCUUGGGAUCCCACUUCAAUUGCAGCUGUUUGAAUUAACAUGUCUCCUUGCUGCAUGUCCUGGCUGAGGAAAGUGCAAGUGCUGUCAUGGCCAGCAGAACAAACAGAUACCUGAUGUAUUACUUCAUCAGCAAAUUCAACAAGGCCAAGAUGUCUUCAUUUUCCUUCAGAGCAAGAGCUGUAAGAGCAGUGUGGUGGAAGUAUUGGUCUUCUGUGGCCAGCCGGAAAGAAGGGAAAAGAGCCAUUUGACCAAUCACGUCAGCUGUGGCCUUAUGUUUGAAGAACAGUUUUUCAAGCAACUGCUCUCAGAGGAAAGGCUGGUUCUCAGUGGGAAAUCAGGUUGCUGUUUGCUUGCCAGUGGUGACCAAGGUAAACAGCAGAGAGAAAUGAAACCCCUUCCUGGACCUUGGAUGAGCGUGAGGGAAAGACCCAGUUUCUGAAGCCUCCAGGGAGGAGCAUGGCCUCAGCAGAGGGAGAGGGAGUGUCCUCCUCUCGGGCUGAUGGUUGCUCUUCAGCAUUUGGCCAAGGUCAGACAGGUACUUAGCACUUACGAAGUGCAACCUCAAGGCAGGCUGUGAGGAACAUCUACACUUAGAGAAGUCUUUCUGGAAAGCCAAUGGAAAUUAUUUGCUCAAAUAUUAGUGCAGUCAGUGGAACUAUUAAUUAACCUGAGGGCAGUCCCUGGCCCACUGCAAGGAUGGCAGGACCCAUACAAGGGGGCAGAUAGAGAGGAAGAUAUGGGCUCACAUUCCAGCAAAGAUGUCCACGGAAGGAUGUGCUUCCCUCUAAGGAGCUAUCAGGUCCCACUGACACUGCUGCCUUCUAACAUGGAUGUUCUUCAGCCUGCAUCACUCAUCCAUAGGACACAGCUUUUCUUAUACCAUCUUCCCAAUACAGGGCUGAGGUUCCUAUGGAAAUACUGUCUGUCAAUGUUCCUACCUGUGCCGGUGGUGGGUGCUGAGUCUCAGGAGAACAGAGAUCAGGCACAUCCGUGAAAAGGGUGGCUGGUUGGGAUCGCAUCUGCAGAGCAGCACACUCACCAAGGAGCAGGUUGGAGAAGAAACAGCACUUUUGUACCCAUGGCAUGAGACAGGGGGGCCCUCAGGAGUCAGGCACCCGCUGUGGUUGGUGGGAUACAAACAAAUCCCAUGGAGACCCAAGAUGCUCCCACGCAGCAUAAAAUAUCUCUCCAGAUUUCAAGUCAACCAGCAACGGUACAAGCUUGGUCAGGGACUCCAGGCAGUGGCUGGUGGGUUCUGCAAGGCCUAGGGGCAGGAGCACUGUGGCUUCCCCAGAACAUCACAAGCAUAUAGUUGCCAGCAAGCCCCAGGUGCACACAGAAUCAAUCUGGAGCUGAAAACAUCCCCGUAGGAAGCGUACACAUCCCUGCUUAUACAGGAACAGAAACAGCAAUAACUUCAGGUCCUGUAAGCUGCAAGUUCAACUUCCAGAGAUGAGCCCUGACUUGUCAUCGCUCUCAGCAUGUUGGUGAUGAGAUCAGAGCACUUCACCAAGGACUCAUACUUCCAGCUUGACAAGGGACAGAGGUGAGUGUACUACACCUCACUGUUACUCGCCUCUCCAACUGCAGAAAGGAACCGAGAGCUGCUCUGUUUAACAUGCAGUCACAGCACUGCCAAUCUAAAAUGGCUGAUCAGUAAUACUUUAAUUGCAGUUUCAUAGAAACAAAUUGCUAUUUAAUUGCAAUAAGCUUGUCUGUGGCUUAGCUGGACUGACAAUAGGCAUACACCUGGUAGUAACAGUAAGCAACAAGGAGGGUUAUCUGGUACUGCAUGAACAGGAGACUCAGGCAGCACCAUCAAACCAGAACACAAUUUCCCACUGAUUAAAUGUAAUACCUGAAAAAAUGUAUAUACAUAAAUUUCCUAAUCUCAAUUUGAUUUUUUAUUUUAAUAGAGCUGUUCAGAACAGAUACUUGCAAAAAGCUGCACACUUCACAUACAACUACUAGCAAAAUACUUUGAUAAAAAGAUUUAAAUUGAAACAUUCUUUUGAAAUCACAGAAUCAGGUUGGAAAAGACCUCUGAAAUCAUCGAGUUAAACUGAACACCACCGUGUCAACCAGACUGUGGCACUCAGUGCUAUGUCCAGUCUUUCCUUAAACAUCUCCAGGAGCAGUGACUCCACCACCUUGAUAGCAAGGCAUACUCUGCCCAUGUGUGAGUUUGGGGUUUUUUAGUAUUUACCCCAGGUGAUGCAAAUUUUAUCGGUGUUAACUAACGGGGAAAAAGGAAGACAAACUCAAUGUGGUUAAUAUUCUGAAGAUGUGACUUAAUUUCAUAGGCUUCAUUUUGUUAAGACAUUCUCAUUUUAUAUUUCAUAAGAUACUGCAUAACCUGUUUAAAUAUUUAAAGAUAAAUCAUGUAGGACUGAAAAGACAGUAUCUUGUUGCAAAGAGAAUUUGGUUUGGAAAGGCUUAAUGUCCCACUGCCUGCCAGGAUGCGUAAAUCUCAUAACUAGACAGCUGGAUAGGUAAAAACAUUAAACCCAUUUAGAGGGCAAUCUUUUUACAAAAUUGUUUCAUUAAUAAGAGUGACAAUUUAUAUGAUUGAGAUGUUUAGAUGCAGUAUAGACAGUGCAUUUUAUCCAGGUUCAUGAGGAUGAUUUCAGAUUAGUAAUAUUUCCUUUGAUUCUUUUUUAAACAGCAUUCAUUUUUGAAAGAGAAGCUCUUACUGAAUGAUUAUUUGACUUUUCAGCAGCACUAAAUGCAGAAGGUGUAUUUCAGCCUCAGUGCAGCAAAUGCAUGUGCUAAAAGGUGAACAAGUUUUUCUUCACAGAUCUCCUUAAAAAAAAAAGUGAUUUUUUUACAUAAGGACAAAUCUAAGUGUUUCCAGUAGCCUUCUGCCCACACCUACCAUCCCCAUUACAGCCUGUUUCAUUGUGUGAAAUGCCUCUGGUUCCAAGAAAUUGUUUUACCUAAAGCAAGAAUACUACUUAAAUAUGUUCUAUUGUAUAUUCAUAGCUCCAUUAGUCCUCCUGCAAUUUAGCACAUCAAAGCAAAGGCUUCAUCACUUGCAUGUGGAUUAUGCUAACAUGAGUGACAUUUGUAAUCUUAUAGGUCUGCAACUUAAGAAAUGCUUUUAAAGUAAGCUAUUAAAUAGGUAGCUGUGCUUUACAAAUGAGUCAUAUAAUAGUUUAUUUAAAGCUGUUAAUGAACUUCAACCUCUACAUCACUAAAUGCUAUACUACAUUUCUUACUAGAAGUUAUUAGCUAUCUUCUUAGCACUUCUAGGUUAUAUUGGACAACCAAAAAUCUGUACAUGUUAGAUUUAAACACUGUACCUUGAGUGCUUAUACUGAAAGAAUAUAAAAAGAUGUCUACAGUCUCACUAAUACUUGAAUUCUAUAUUCAUAUGACUUCAAGUGUCUUUUCAAAGAUACUGAAGCAGCACAAUUUGCAGACUCUGAAGACUUUAAUGCCAGAUCAAAAAGCUUAGAAACUUAUUUUAAAUACCCACAAGUGCAUUUAAUUAAAAGUCAUACAUAGUGUCAGUCAUUUAUGUUGUGCUUUAUAUGUUAUGCAAGUAGUCUUUUGUCUUUACUGUCUGAUACUGUACGUUGCUACGUUUUCUUUUCUCUGAAACUGGGCUUCCUCAAGCACUGACGUGUUAAAAGAAAAAAUUCAGCAGCCCUCCAAGAUACUAGACACCAUGAAGUAGAACCUGAAACAAAAAUAUCUGCUGUUGGCUGUUUAUACAGAUAAAUCGAUAAAUCAGCUUUUUGUGUUAUUGGCAUCACAACAAAAAUAAGUCAAGCUUACUCCAUAACCAAGCAGAUGAGCAGUGAACACCUUCUGGAAAAGAGAACAUAAAAUAAUGCUGUGUUAUGAAUGUAUUUGUUUCCUAUAAAAGUAGAGUAUUUCUUAAUAUUGAUUUCUUUUGAAUUGCAGCAAAGGCAGAUUCGUUGCUUGCAGGUUCCUGACUGAAGGCAUACAGUGGACAGCCACAGAUCCAUGUUAGCAUUCUUGCUAAAAACAUGAAAAGUCAGAUUCUUUUUCGCAAAGGUAUUCUGCACAGAUCUACCACUAAACAGCUGAUGGGAAAAACAUGCAAAAUGAAGUUGUUCCCUUUGUAAGCUUAGAGGUGGCUCUGCUGCUUUGUGGGGACGUGGUUUUUGUUUGUUUGCUUUCAGAAAACAGAUCAUAUUUUGAGAUCAGCUAGUUCUCAGAAACAGCCCAGGAAGCAGGUUUUUCUUUCCUUAAGAUAAUCAGUGUUGAAAAGUUAAAGUCUCUCACCCCAGCAAACACAACUUUAUGUUGUUCAGAUCAGAACAGCUAUUGUAUUCCUUUUUCAUGAAUACUCAAUUCUAGUGCUCAGCAUGAGGUACAGACCUUUCAUUGGCUUUUAUUUUUUUGACCUCUUAUGGUAUAUUCAUACCCUCUUAUGCUUGCAUGCUCAGAGACACAGGCACAUCCUUGUAACAGAAGGAACUGGAAAGAAAGAGAUCACAGUACCUCUGUGUGUGCUGUAAUUCACUGCAAUGGGAAUUCUUCUUGUUACCAGAAUUAAGAAUCUCCAUGAAAAAAAAUACAAUUUUGAAGUAGUACUCGUUAUCCUUGACACAAGGAACACGGUCAAGUAGUUU